GAUGAACGCUGGCGGCGUGCCUAAUACAUGCAAGUCGAGCGAACAGACGAGGAGCUUGCUCCUCUGACGUUAGCGGCGGACGGGUGAGUAACACGUGGAUAACCUACCUAUAAGACUGGGAUAACUUCGGGAAACCGGAGCUAAUACCGGAUAAUAUAUUGAACCGCAUGGUUCAAUAGUGAAAGACGGUUUUGCUGUCACUUAUAGAUGGAUCCGCGCCGCAUUAGCUAGUUGGUGAGGUAACGGCUUACCAAGGCAACGAUGCGUAGCCGACCAGAGAGGGUGAUCGGCCACACUGGAACUGAGACACGGUCCAGACUCCUACGGGAGGCAGCAGUAGGGAAUCGUCCGCAAUGGGCGAAAGCCUGACGGAGCAACGCCGCGUGAGUGAUGAAGGUCUUCGGAUCGUAAAACUCUGUUAUUAGGGAAGAACAAAUGUGUAAGUAACUAUGCACGUCUUGACGGUACCUAAUCAGAAAGCCACGGCUAACUACGUG
rnacentral:rRNA from 1 species